AUUGAACGCUGGCGGCAGGCUUAACACAUGCAAGUCGAGCGGAGAGAGGUAGCUUGCUACUGAUCUUAGCGGCGGACGGGUGAGUAAUGCUUAGGAAUCUGCCUACUAGUGGGGGACAACAUUUCGAAAGGAAUGCUAAUACCGCAUACGUCCUACGGGAGAAAGCAGGGGAUCUUCGGACCUUGCGCUAAUAGAUGAGCCUAAGUCGGAUUAGCUAGUUGGUGGGGUAAAGGCCUACCAAGGCGACGAUCUGUAGCGGGUCUGAGAGGAUGGUCCGCCACACUGGGACUGAGACACGGCCCAGACUCCUACGGGAGGCAGCAGUGGGGAAUAUUGGACAAUGGGGGGAACCCUGAUCCAGCCAUGCCGCGUGUGUGAAGAAGGCCUUAUGGUUGUAAAGCACUUUAAGCGAGGAGGAGGCUACUCUGGUUAAUACCUAGGGAUAGUGGACGUUACUCGCAGAAUAAGCACCGGCUAACUCUGUGCCAGCAGCCGCAGUAA
rnacentral:rRNA from 1 species